AUUGAACGCUGGCGGCAGGCCUAACACAUGCAAGUCGAACGAGUGGCGGACGGGUGAGUAAUGUCUGGGAAACUGCCUGAUGGAGGGGGAUAACUACUGGAAACGGUAGCUAAUACCGCAUACCAUCGGAUGUGCCCAGAUGGGAUUAGCUAGUAGGUGGGGGAACGGCUCACCUAGGCGACGAUACCUAGCUGGUCUGAGAGGAUGACCAGCCACACUGUAAAUGAGACACGGUCCAGACUCCUACGGGAGGCAGCAUUGGGGAAUAUUGCACAAUGGGCGAAAGCCUUAUGCAGCCACGCCGCGUGUAUGAAGAAGGCCUUCGGGUUGUAAAGUACUUUCAUCGGGGAGGCGUUACCCGCAGAAGAAGCACCGGCUAACUCCGUGCCAGCAGCCGCGGUAAUUC
rnacentral:rRNA from 1 species